GAGUUUUGUUUUACAAUUAACUUUAGCUACUCUUGAACACGCGCAAAUCUGCGUUGUCCUCGUGUAUUUUAGAACUCCACCUUCGAGUGAUAAUUAGAUUGCUCGCAUCUCUUUCUUGUACGUUCUUCGAUUGCGGACAGGAAACGAUCUUCGUGAUCAGGCUGAUCUUGCAUCAACAAGGUUGGUAACCACAGGGAGUUGGUUCAGCGAUUGCAUUGGUGCUUCGGGCUCGCUCGUCGUAGUCGGAUCGUGAGGGUCAUCUUCCACCAAGUCGAAACUUUCCCCACUCACCGAAAGAUCGGGCACUCCGGCUCUAUCAAGUGGUAUAAGGUUUCCAGGUUGUUCGGUGAGUUUAUCGAGUGUUUUCAAAUUCCUAUAGUCCAUAAAACCAAAACACAAAUAUAUAUUCCUUGCCCCAGAAACUUUUUAGCCUUUCAAUAAUUCGCAUUGUUGAAUUUGUGUGCUUACGCGUUCAACUGUUGCUGGUUAUUUUGUGUUCUUUUACCAUUUUUUUUCUUCGAACCUUAGUGCGCCACCACAUCUCUUUCCCUUCUGCAUCACACGCGCCCCCUGGAUCGCGUGCCGAUCACCUCCCCCUAGAUUGCGCCUCCUGUUUUGCCCCUGCCUUGUGCGUCCUUUGGAAAGUC
rnacentral:lncRNA from 7 species